rnacentral:rRNA from 1 species
AGGGGGUUUGAUCAUGGGCUCAGGACGAACGCUGGCGGCGUGCUUAACACAUGCAAGUCGAACGAACGGAGGAGAGCUUGCUCUCCAAUGUUAGUGGCGGACGGGUGCGUAACACGUGAGCAAUCUGCCCUCGGGCGGGGGAUAGCCGGCCCAACGGCCGGGUAAUACCGCGUAAAGCAUUGGUGUCGCAUGGCACUGAUGUGAAAGGAACUUCGGUUUCGCCUGGGGAGGAGCUCGCGGCGUAUCAGCUUGUUGGUGGGGUAACGGCCUACCAAGGCUACGACGCGUAGCUGGUCUGAGAGGACGAUCAGCCACAUUGGGACUGAGAUACGGCCCAGACUCCUACGGGAGGCAGCAGUGGGGAAUAUUGCGCAAUGGCCGAAAGGCUGACGCAGCGACGCCGCGUGUGGGAUGAAGGCUUUCGGGUUGUAAACCACUGUCGGGAGGGACGAAAUAAAUGACGGUACCUCCAAAGGAAGCGCCGGCUAACUCCGUGCCAGCAGCCGCGGUAACACGGAGGGCGCGAGCGUUGUUUGGAAUCACUGGGCGUAAAGCGCGCGUAGGCGGUUGGGUAAGUCGCUUGUGAAAGCCCGGGGCUCAACUCCGGGACGCCAGGCGAUACUGUCCGACUAGAGCACGGUAGAGGCAAGUGGAAUUCCCGGUGUAGCGGGUGGAAUGCGUAGAUAUCGGGAAGAACACCAGUGGCGAAGGCGGCUUGCUGGGCCGUUGCUGACGCUGAGGUGCGAAAGCGUGGGGAGCAAACAGGAUUAGAUACCCU